AAUUCGAGAGCUCGAGCCCUAGCAGAGGCCAGGGGGGGUGGGGCUCUGCUCUCUGAUUGAGCCGUGCCAAUAUCACGUCCCACUCGCCCUCGCGCGCGGACGUUGCCGCCGCGGUGUCCGUCCGUAUCACAUCCGUUAGUUCUUUGCCUCGCUGAACUCUGCAUUAAUUAAUGUGCGUAUAUUAUAUCCUCAACAAUUUCCCCUCUUUUUACUGAUGACGUGUUCCAGUCAAUGUGAAUGAAUGGAAAAUGGACGUGUUUACUGAUGA
rnacentral:precursor_RNA from 1 species